CCUACGGGAGGCAGCAGUGAGGAAUAUUGGUCAAUGGCCGAGAGGCUGAACCAGCCAAGUCGCGUGAGGGAAGAAUGUCCUAUGGAUUGUAAACCUCUUUUGUCAGGGAGCAAAGUCACCCACGUGUGGGUGUUGGUGAGUACCUGAAGAAAAAGCAUCGGCUAACUCCGUGCCAGCAGCCGCGGUAAUACGGAGGAUGCGAGCGUUAUCCGGAUUUAUUGGGUUUAAAGGGGCCGUAGGGGGGUUAUCAAGUCAGCGGGAAAAUCUUGGAGCUCAACUCCAUCCAGCAGUUGAAACUGAUGAUCUUGAGUGGGCUAGAAGUAUGCGGAAUGCGUGGUGUAGCGGUGAAAUGCUUAGAUAUCACGCAGAACUCCGAUUGCGAAGGCAGCAUACCGGCGUCCCACUGACGCUGAAGCACGAAAGCGUGGGUAUCGAACAGGAUUAGAUACCCCAGUAGUC
rnacentral:rRNA from 1 species